rnacentral:rRNA from 1 species
CAGUCGCCGCGGUAAUACAGAGGGUGCAAGCGUUAAUCGGAAUUACUGGGCGUAAAGCGCGCGUAGGUGGUUUGUUAAGUUGGAUGUGAAAGCCCCGGGCUCAACCUGGGAACUGCAGUGGAUACUGGGUCACUAGAGUGUGGUAGAGGAUAGUGGAAUUUCCGGUGUAGCAGUGAAAUGCGUAGAGAUCGGAAGGAACAUCUGUGGCGAAGGCGACUAUCUGGGCCAACACUGACACUGAGGCACGAAAGCGUGGGGAGCAAACAGGAUUAGAUACCCCCGUAGUCCCUGUCUCUUAUAC